CACGAUAAGGGCAAACCCUGAGUGAUCAGGGGACGCAAAGUAACAGGGUCUUCCGCAUAUUUCCAGCAAAGACAGGAAAAUAGAAAGAUAGCCUUACUGCCGGAG
rnacentral:ncRNA from 1 species